GAUGAACGCUGGCGGCGUGCCUAAUACAUGCAAGUCGAGCGAACGGACGAGAAGCUUGCUUCUCUGAUGUUAGCGGCGGACGGGUGAGUAACACGUGGAUAACCUACCUAUAAGACUGGGAUAACUUCGGGAAACCGGAGCUAAUACCGGAUAAUAUUUUGAACCGCAUGGUUCAAAAGUGAAAGACGGUCUUGCUGUCACUUAUAGAUGGAUCCGCGCUGCAUUAGCUAGUUGGUAAGGUAACGGCUUACCAAGGCAACGAUGCAUAGCCGACCUGAGAGGGUGAUCGGCCACACUGGAACUGAGACACGGUCCAGACUCCUACGGGAGGCAGCAGUAGGGAAUCUUCCGCAAUGGGCGAAAGCCUGACGGAGCAACGCCGCGUGAGUGAUGAAGGUCUUCGGAUCGUAAAACUCUGUUAUUAGGGAAGAACAUAUGUGUAAGUAACUGUGCACAUCUUGACGGUACCUAAUCAGAAAGCCACGGCUAACUACGUGCCAGCAGCCGCGGUAAUACGUAGGUGGCAAGCGUUAUCCGGAAUUAUUGGGCGUAAAGCGCGCGUAGGCGGUUUUUUAAGUCUGAUGUGAAAGCCCACGGCUCAACCGUGGAGGGUCAUUGGAAACUGGAAAACUUGAGUGCAGAAGAGGAAAGUGGAAUUCCAUGUGUAGCGGUGAAAUGCGCAGAGAUAUGGAGGAACACCAGUGGCGAAGGCGACUUUCUGGUCUGUAACUGACGCUGACGUGCGAAAGCGUGGGGAUCAAACAGGAUUAGAUACCCUGGUAGUCCACGCCGUAAACGAUGAGUGCUAAGUGUUAGGGGGUUUCCGCCCCUUAGUGCUGCAGCUAACGCAUUAAGCACUCCGCCUGGGGAGUACGACCGCAAGGUUGAAACUCAAAGGAAUUGACGGGGACCCGCACAAGCGGUGGAGCAUGUGGUUUAAUUCGAAGCAACGCGAAGAACCUUACCAAAUCUUGACAUCCUUUGACAACUCUAGAGAUAGAGCUUUCCCCUUCGGGGGACAAAGUGACAGGUGGUGCAUGGUUGUCGUCAGCUCGUGUCGUGAGAUGUUGGGUUAAGUCCCGCAACGAGCGCAACCCUUAAGCUUAGUUGCCAUCAUUAAGUUGGGCACUCUAAGUUGACUGCCGGUGACAAACCGGAGGAAGGUGGGGAUGACGUCAAAUCAUCAUGCCCCUUAUGAUUUGGGCUACACACGUGCUACAAUGGACAAUACAAAGGGCAGCGAAACCGCGAGGUCAAGCAAAUCCCAUAAAGUUGUUCUCAGUUCGGAUUGUAGUCUGCAACUCGACUACAUGAAGCUGGAAUCGCUAGUAAUCGUAGAUCAGCAUGCUACGGUGAAUACGUUCCCGGGUCU
rnacentral:rRNA from 1 species